UGAAAACAACGAAGACAUGUUUGUCUUAUUUAGAGGGAGUAGAUGCAUCACACUGAGAGCUCAUGAUCCCAGUGUGAACAAAAUCGCUUUAAUAUUCCAAAGUGAAAGUAGCAAUUCCUCCUGAAGGUCAGAGAUUGCAGCAUCUGAGGGCCUCUUCAAAAGAAGACGUAGUUGAUGAAGGCGUUCUGGAGCAGGACCAGAAAGACCAUGACCAAGCAGCCUUGAGAUCUUAGGCAGCGUCUCCCUCAGGUCCCUCUCUAUCUCCCCACACAUCCACCAACCACUGGAACACAUCUCCAAAGUUCUGUGGGGCCAGCUCAGCUUCCCCUCAGAAGAAGUGACGCCACCUGCCAGAUGAAGGAGCCUUUUGAGAGGCAGCUGGCAUCAUGAUUGGACUGUACUUUGGUCUGUUCCAAUUCAGCUUCAGCUCCAAAGACGGCAGGCGGGACGAGUCAACGGAGGCCGGGUGGACGAAGGCAUGCAGCUGACUCGAAUAAAAAAUGCAAUUUUUCAACAUGUUGUAAAAACGUGCC
ensembl:lncRNA